rnacentral:rRNA from 1 species
AGCAGCCGCGGUAAUUCCAGCUCCAAUAGCGUAUAUUAAUGUUGCUGCAGUUAAAAAGCUCGUAGUUGGAUUUCUGGUUUGGCGCGCCUGGCCCGCCACGGUCACGUGAGUGAGUGCUGGGUCGCGCCUGCCAUCUUUCUGGUCAACUAUUCUUCCUUAACGGGUUGGAUAGGUAGCCAGAUCUUUUACUUUGAAAAAAUUAGAGUGUUUAAAGCAGGCGUUUGCUAUGAAUACAUUAGCAUGGAAUAAUAACUUAGGACUUCGGUUCUAUUUUGUUGGUUUCUAGGACUGAAGUAAUGAUUGAUAGGGAUAGUUGGGGGUGCUAGUAUUCAGCGGCCAGAGGUGAAAUUCUUGGAUUCACUGAAGACUAACUACUGCGAAAGCAUUCACCAAGGAUGUCUUCUUUAAUCAAGAACGAAAGUUGGGGGAUCGAAGACGAUCAGAUACCGUCGUAGUCUUAACCAUAAACUAUGCCGACUAGGGAUCGGAUGAUGUUAUUUUUAAUGACUCA